rnacentral:lncRNA from 11 species
UGGCCCACACCCAUGAGGGAAGGGGGCAGCCCCAAUUUCACUCCUCUUCUCCCUUGUCUUUUACAGGACUCCGAAGCGGCAACGCUGGCUGACAUCCCCAGCCUGGAGGAUGAGGUGUGGGACCCUCUCCCCAGUACAAGCAGCUCCGUAGGACCCGGCGAAGAUGAAGAUCCUGCCCUGCACCCGAGGAGAUGGUCCUCCCUGGACCCAGAACAGGUAAAGCUUAGAGUUCCUCCUGGCGAGGCCUGCAGCCACCACCAAGGAGGCAUCGCCCAACGCCUUUCUCAGGAUGCCCCAUCGACCUUCUAGAUGGCAGGUUUGUCGAGAGAUGUCCAGCCUUCAGGUAGGCUGCUCUUCUCAACUCCUGCCAUUCCCCAGUGGUCUCUUUGGCCACUGGAAAGGUAUGUAGGGACCCCAAUGCCCAGUUCCUUCCAGCAAGCAUCACACACGCAUUCACCUGCCACUGCUCUCCCUGCACUUUUGGCCCAGGAGCCUUUCCAUGGCUGCCAGGUGCCAUUGUUUCUCUUCUUUUUUCUUCACAGGCAAAACAACACCUACACCAUCUUUGCCUGCUGGUCUGCAGUUCCUCCUCUGCAGAGGUCACGCAGGCAGUGGAUUACGUGGCCCGAAAACAUCUAAAGAUGGCCACGGACCACUUUCUGGAGUCCGGCGGGAGGGCAUGUGGUGAAUUAGUAAGCGCCGUACUCAAUUCACCAUAUUGUUGCCUGGAAGCGGCGCUGGACCUGUUCCUGGCCAAGGUAAAGGAGGGACCUUGGCUGGCCCAGGAGGGCGAGGAACAGGGCAGCCCUACUUUUGAUGCGGUCACGGCAAGAGCGACGCGGGCCAUCGGCGGGAUCGUCAGACACAUCAGGGACAGCACGCGCCUGGAGGGGUGGUUCCUGGAGCUUCUGCUCGCCUUGGUGACCAACUUCAUCGAGGUCACAAGGCCUGGGUUGGAGGCACCCAGCAGGAACCGGAGCAACAGCUACGUUCCUCCAGAAGAACUGGCGAAUAUCAUCAUCGUGCUAGUGAAGAGGGUGGCACCGAAGUCCUUCAACAGGACCUCCGAGUGGAUGCUAGAAGACGACCCAAGCAUCUGCCCUGAGGGGAUAGCCCUCCAGUUGCGGAGCCUCCUCAAGUCCUCCUCCUCCCUAGUCCAGCACCUGCAUUCCAUCUGGGAGAAAGAAGCGCCGCUGGAGCAUUCGGCCGGCGUGGUGGCCUUCUACGUCCAGCUGCUGAAGAUCGGCCAGCGCCCACACUCCUCGGAGAAGACCUGGGCACUGCUGACGGCCUGGCUUCAACAUCACAGCCUGGCCGUCCAACAUCAGAGCAGGCAGGGCCUUCUCCUGCUCUGCGAGACAUACUGGGAGACCAUGGGCCUUCAGGAACUCCUAGACGGCAUCAUCGGCGGAAUGCAAUCACCGCACACUAACAUCGCCAUGGAGUUCCUGAACCUGGCUGGCCAGCUGGAGCCCCUGCUGCAUAUUGAAGACCGGGCCCUUGCGAAGGUUCACCUAACUGCCACAUGCCGCCGCCUCUUCCACCAUGAGGCGGCCAACAUCCGAACGGCAGCCCUCGAAUGCUUCCGGCAUUUCAUCUGGCGCCCGGGACAUCCUCUUCAGGAGCGUCAAACCAUCAGUGACCUCCUGGUGGUGCUGAUGCAUGUGGAGGAUGAGGAUGAGGAGGUGGCCAAGACUGCGAGGGAGACCCUCAGGGAGGCGGCGGACAUCCUGAAUUGGCACCUGAAGGACAGCGUUCUGGCGGAGGACACCUUCAGCUUGCAGGAGCUGCUGCAUAAGAUCUCCAAGCGCCUGAUCCAUCAUUGCCGCCCCAGGAAAGAGUUGGAGGAACAGGUGUAUGGCUGCCUCCGUAUCUUUAAAAGCCAACGUCCAUCGGCUAGAAAGGUGGCAGCCAUGUUAGUCGGCCACAUUCUGCACAAGAACUACAAGAUGUGUGCCGACAGGAACCUCUACACCUACCACGCCUGGCUGAUCAACCUCCUUGAAGACCAUGACCCUGAAGUCAGGCGAGUUGGCAGGGAGACUAAGACCAUCCUUGCCAGGGUCACUGCCCUACACCACCGACACGGGCUGCGGGCUGCUCUUCGGCGCUUGGCGGCUCCCUGCAGGCGGGAGAGGUACCCCCCAGAGUACGCCAAGAGGCCACCCGCCUGAUGGACUGGUAAGAGAGGGAGGGAGGAAAAGAAGGAGGAGGGAGGAAGGGAGGGGGAAGAGGAAAUGGAGGAAGGAGGGAAAAGAGGAAGCAAUGGGGAA